rnacentral:rRNA from 1 species
UAGGGAAUCUUCCACAAUGGACGCAAGUCUGAUGGAGCAACGCCGCGUGAGUGAAGAAGGUUUUCGGAUCGUAAAGCUCUGUUGUUGGUGAAGAAGGAUAGAGGCAGUAACUGGUCUUUAUUUGACGGUAAUCAACCAGAAAGUCACGGCUAACUACGUGCCAGCAGCCGCGGUAAUACGUAGGUGGCAAGCGUUGUCCGGAUUUAUUGGGCGUAAAGCGGGCGCAGGCGGAAUGAUAAGUCUGAUGUGAAAGCCCACGGCUCAACCGUGGAACUGCAUCGGAAACUGUCAUUCUUGAGUGCAGAAGAGGAGAGUGGAACUCCAUGUGUAGCGGUGGAAUGCGUAGAUAUAUGGAAGAACACCAGUGGCGAAGGCGGCUCUCUGGUCUGCAACUGACGCUGAGGCUCGAAAGCAUGGGUAGCGAACAGGAUUAGAUACCCUGGUAGUCCAUGCCGUAAACGAUGAGCGCUAGGUGUUGGGGACUUUCCGGUUCUCAGUGCCGCAGCAAACGCAUUAAGCGCUCCGCCUGGGGAGUACGACCGCAAGGUUGAAAC